CAAAAUACAAUUGGUCAAGGAAUCAGAAUAUAAUGGUAAUAACCCAAUGCUAGUUUGAACCAAGGAAAGGAAGAGAACCAAAUAGCUGCUGAGUUGAGCAAUAUUUAAAAAAAAGCAUAAACCAAAAAGGAGGCUAAUGAUGUUAUUAUAUAACAAGAAUAUUGCAUUUGAUUCUUUAUUUCAUUUUAACAAUUGGCAGAAAGAAAUAUAUGUUUGAGCUUUAUCGAGUGCACAUGAGCUAAAUUUACCCACAUGAUGUCGCAGGGGGUUGGACGCAGCAACUCACCAAAUUAUUAUUAUUAUUAUUUUUUGAUAAAUUCAGCAACUCACCAAAUUAUCACUCAAGCUAACCUAAAAAGGGUAAUUACCAAAAGAAGACGAAGAAGAAGAAAAAGGAAGAAGAGGAAGAAGAAACGGUUUACAUCAAAUGCAUCACAUGCCACUUGUUGGAAUAAUUUUUCAGUCUUCUCUUUUAAUGAGUAGAAUAGUUUUAUUCCAUUUCAAAAUACAAGAUAACAUUUGGGGACAACUCACUUGAGGGUUCUCAGGGAUCUUGGAAUAGUACAAUUAACGUGGGCCACCUAACAUAGAGACAUAAACUACAAUUACAAAUGUGUAUUUGGUGACCUAGUAGUAAGGGUAAUGACAGUGUGGCAGCAUAGCUUAGGCAGCAUGCACCAACAUACCCAAACAGUGGGCUAUCAGGUUCUGCAAUAAUUUUUAAACCUAAAUUCCAAAAGAAUCAUUCAACUAAUUCAAAAACUUAAAUUUGAGUUUCCACUAGAUGAUACACAAGUAACUUUAUCACAUUGUGUUAAGUUGAUCAAGCUUUUACAAUUGCACCAGCCCGAGUAACAGCUUCUUAAUACAGAAAUAAAUAGAUCCAAUGAAAAUAGCUCACCUAAACUGAUAUCGAUGAGAUUUAAAAUUAGGAGAUGCUUGCA